AUUAAUCAAACCGGCCGGCGGGGCGGGGCUACAGGGGUCGGGGCUUCCGCCUGGCCCCGCCCUCGCCCCCGUCGCGGUUCACUUUGAGCCGAGCCUGCACGUCCUGCCUGUCGAGCGUCCGCGGUGUUGAAGGCCCGCCGAGUUGCCGCGCCUCGCCGCGGUUCUUCAGCCGCGGACCCAAUCUGAGCGAGGGCGCCUCUUAGGCAGACGCAGAGCUGAGGCGGGAACCCUGGCGUUUUGUGGAGAGUGACUUUUAAUUUUCUGAGGAAAUGUGAAGUGUGCCGUUGCCAUGCGCUAACCUAUUAUUCUACCACCAAGAUGCCCUUGGCACAGUCAUCUACUCACUAGUGGACCACCCAUCAUCAACUGGGCCUCAGGCUCCUUUGAUAUGAUCCCUGCUCAUUUAGACAUCUUUACCUGCUGUUUCUGGGACUGUCCUGAGUCAUUUGCCCUACCUCAAUCUUCCUCCCUUUCCAGCGGUUAUUUCCCUUUGAAUGGGGACUGUUUUAUUCACCUUUAAUUACAGUGCCUAGCAUAGUCCUGUGCUCAGAUAUUUAUUAAAUGAAUAAAUGAAUGUUUUCAGAGAAGCACUACAAAGGAUAUAUACUGAAAGAUAUGCAUAUGUUUUGGAUUUUAUUAAAGUGUUUGAUUUUGUUUCCAAAUUUGGGUUAUAUAGUUAAGUGGCUAUAUUUAGGACAAGAUUUUUUUUAUCAUAAGAUACUUGAAGUCUGAAGUCAUAAUCCCUAUUAAUCUUAUCAUAAUCUUUGAGGUAAAGCUCCAAAUUUAUAAGGCUAUCAAAAAUACGUAAAAAGUCAGGAAGUACAAAAAUUACUAUCUUCCUAAGAAUUCCUGUUCACUGACAAUGUAUUUGUACAGCAUUGUCUUUAAAGUGUUCAUUUCAGCUCUUCUAAAGACCUGAAGGAAUAUUGUGGAUUUUAAAAAUACGUAAUAUAUAUUCUAAACUUUAACUCAUGCUUUCCAUUUUUCUUUUUUGAGCCAUACUAACAGAGCCUUUGUAUAAAGACCAUAGUGUUAAGUUGUUGGCCACAUACCUAAGGAUAGAGUUAUUGUGUGCUACAAACAUGUUUUCACAGACGUCACUGAUUUUAAACCUGAAAGGCUCAGAACUGUAGCAUUUGUUUAGAUAGGGAUGGCAAAUGUGUAGGAGGUGAGAGAGAAAGAUAUCUACAAGUAGCCAAGGGAGAAUAACUAAGUGUUCCUGAGGAAAACUCAGAUAAUUUUCUGUCACAGCUAGUCAGCUUUUAAUUUUUUUCAAUUUCAAUUUUAUUUUAACUGAACUUAGAGUUUGUUUUUCAAUAUAGUAAAUCAUAUAAUCUACUUAAAUUUUUUUAUAUUAUCCCAUUUUUCUCUGUAGUUCCUUUUUAUUUAUAAAAAUUAUUUGUUUACAUUGUCACAUAAUUACAUAUCUGGAGAUUUUCUUAAAUCCCCACCAAUUUGAAGUGAAUUUCUUUUUUUUUUUUUUAAUUUUGUUGAUGUUUACUCAUUCUUGAGAGAGAGAGAGAGAGAGAGAGAGAGACAGACAGACAAAGCAUUAGUGGGGGAAGGGCAGAACAAGAGAGAGACACAGAAUCUGAAGCAGGCUCCAGGCUCUGAGCUGUCGUCACAGAACCCAACGCGGGGUUCGAACUCACAAGCCGUGAGACCAUGACCUGAACUGAAGUCGGAUGCCCAAUCAACUGAGCCACUCAGGUGCCCCUGAAGUGAAUUUCUAUGUAGAGCAGACAUCAUUGUCCUUGUAUCCAAGCACAGUUGAGCCAGUCAUUGCUAGAGCGGUCACUAGAAGCCAAGCUGUUUGAUGAAGUUAGGUAACUUUGAUUAAUCUCUGUACCCCUUGCUAUCUUUGUGACCUUAGACAAGUUAUUUCAUCUUUCUAAAACUCAGCUUUCUUGUGUACAAAAUGGAUGUAAUAAUUAUUUUCUCCAUAGGUUAUAGUGAUUAAAUGAAGUGAUGUUUAUAAAUAUCUGAAAUGUUUAGUACAGUAAGAAUUACUUCUCUUUUCUUCC